GACGAACGCUGGCGGCGUGCUUAACACAUGCAAGUCGAACGAAGAGCGAUGGAAGCUUGCUUCUAUCAAUCUUAGUGGCGAACGGGUGUGUAACGCGUAAUCAACCUGCCCUUCAGAGGGGGACAACAGUUGGAAACGACUGCUAAUACCGCAUACGAUCUAAUCUCGGCAUCGAGGAUAGAUGAAAGGUGGCCUCUACAUGUAAGCUAUCACUGAAGGAGGGGAUUGCGUCUGAUUAGCUAGUUGGAGGGGUAACGGCCCACCAAGGCGAUGAUCAGUAGCCGGUCUGAGAGGAUGAACGGCCACAUUGGGACUGAGACACGGCCCAGACUCCUACGGGAGGCAGCAGUGGGAAAUCUUCCGCAAUGGACGAAAGUCUGACGGAGCAACGCCGCGUGAGUGAUGACGGCCUUCGGGUUGUAAAGCUCUGUUAAUCGGGACGAAAGGCCUUCUUGCGAACAGUUAGAAGGAUUGACGGUACCGGAAGAGAAAGCCACGGCUAACUACGUG
rnacentral:rRNA from 1 species